GCAGACACAUUCCAGCCAAUCAGCAGCAGACCCUCCCUCCCAGACCCUCCCCCCUCCUGGACAGCAUCCAUUUUAAAUUCAUUGUGAAGCUGCAUUCUUAGUGUGCUGUCCAGGAGGUGGGAGGGUCUGGGAGGGAGGGUCUGCUGCUGAUUGGCUGGAAUGUAUCUG
rnacentral:miRNA from 1 species